rnacentral:rRNA from 1 species
UACGUAGGGCGCAAGCGUUGUCCGGAAUUAUUGGGCGUAAAGAGCGCGCAGGCGGUCGUUCAAGUCGAGUGUGAAAGCCCCCGGCUCAACUGGGGAGGGUCACUCGAUACUGAUCGACUCGAAGGCAGGAGAGGGUAGUGGAAUUCCCGGUGUAGUGGUGAAAUGCGUAGAUAUCGGGAGGAACACCAGUGGCGAAGGCGACUACCUGGCCUGUUCUUGACGCUGAGGCGCGAAAGCUAGGGGAGCAAACGGG